CUUACAGUGCCAUGUCCACAUUCCACAACAUCUCAGAAGUUCUGUAGCAACAGAAUGAAUGUAUCUUAAGGACUUGCCCCCAAAAGAGUGGUUGAUUCUCAACAGGGUUUUCUACUCUUGCUUCUUAAGUUCAACAGAGUAAGGAAAGAAUGGGAAGCAUACUGUGCAGUUGAAAUCAGAAGAUGUAGAAGGGAGGAGAGGAAAAUUGAAGGAAGCAAACUUCAGAGACGUUGUGCUGUCUUUGGACUCUGCAUGCUAAUCCAGGAUUAUACAAGCAGAAGAGGAGCUCCAGGAAUGGCUUUUAUUAUUAGCUGGCUAUUGCUCAGCUAUGUUGACACAUGGAAGUCCUGGAGUAGGCUCUCUGAAAAUGGUGACCAGAAAGAAACGGAAUGUGGUUACAUCUGUACAUGCACUUUGUUCCUCUGUAUCAAUUUCAACUUUUCUAGAAGGUGCCCAUGGAAUAAAAAAGAUAAAUCUCAUAUUCGUCUGAGAAACUGAAAUUAAAAUUCAAGAUCAGUUAUCAUAAUGCAUCUCCCAAUCUCAAAUGUGUAGAGUUCUUUGAGAAAGAGGAAAGCAUUCAGGGAAAAUUCUGUAUAUGCUCUGCUACAGCAAAUUGUUAGGCAUGGCUGUGGUUGAUGCUGUGCUGUAAAUAAAACUAUCUGAACUAUCUGAAGUAUCCAAG